rnacentral:rRNA from 1 species
AUUGAACGCUGGCGGAAUGCUUUACACAUGCAAGUCGAACGGCAGCACGGACUUCGGUCUGGUGGCGAGUGGCGAACGGGUGAGUAAUGUAUCGGAACGUGCCCAGUCGUGGGGGAUAACGUAGUGAAAAUUACGCUAAUACCGCAUACGAUCUAUGGAUGAAAGCGGGGGAUCGCAAGACCUCGCGCGAUUGGCGCGGCCGAUAUCAGAUUAGGUAGUUGGUGGGGUAAAGGCACACCAAGCCAACGAUCUGUAGCUGGUCUGGGAGGACGACCAGCCACACUGGAACUGAGACACGGUCCAGACUCCUACGGGAGGCAGCAGUGGGGAAUUUUGGACAAUGGGCGAAAGCCUGAUCCAGCCAUUCCGCGUGCAGGAUGAAGGCCCUCGGGUUGUAAACUGCUUUUGUACAGAACGAAAAGGUUUCUACUAAUACUAGGAGCUCAUGACGGUACUGUAAGAAUAAGCACCGGCUAACUACGUGCCAGCCGCCGCCGUAA